AAAUCUCCGACAGGAUUAAGAGUCGUAGGAAAUAAUUGGACAUUUCAUUCAUCAAUAACAUAACUGUGCUAUGUACAAUCUUACAGAUCCUGUUGCUUGUUAAUUGGCAUAUAGGCAGAGAGAUGUAAUCAAUGGAGGUAAUUAAAGCACCCAAUUUUGGGAAUAUUUACUGUUGACAGUCAGACAUAUGAGGUGCACUCGUUUUGCACGGACUAAAACCUUAUACCUUAGCAGAUCUGCAAGAUUUGGAACAGAACAUGCAUAAGUGAGUGCUACUAACCAGUCACUGUCUAAUUUUUCUUCAUAAUCCCCGGUUCUUAUGUCGAUUCGAUGCAUGCAUGCUGUUCUUGGUUCUGAUCUCAUCCAACUUUAACUCUUCCAACCCAAUGCCUUCAGAUUAGCUUGAUUUAACUCAACAUGCUUGCCAAGCGCAAGAUCUGCGGGGAGCCUGAAACCACCUAUACGUAUACGCUUCAGUGCACGCAACUGAAGUCCAGCAUUUUUCACAAGUUCACGAACUUCAUGAUUCCGUCCUUCAUGAACCACAAUGCGCAGACGAGGUCUUGAUAAGUCAGGCUGCCCUGGUAGUAGUUCAACAUUAUCUGGGGUGCAAUGGACACCGUCAAUAAUUGUUCCCUCACUAAUGGCUAUCAAGUGUCGCUUAUGAACUUCACCGUCGAUAGUUGCAAUGUAUUCCUUUGACAAAUUAGAUGAAGGAUGUGAAAUCUGGUGCGUGAACUCCCCAUCAUUGGUCACAAUAAUCAAGCCAGUCGUGGCAACAUCAAGUCUGCCAACUGUAAAGAGCCGAGGUUUCGGUUGUCCAGGAUGCCUUUUAUCCCAACUCUUUAUAAAGUCAUCAAAAAGGGACAUGACUGACUUAGUUUCUUUCUCCCCAGAUGAGCAUAUGUACCCUUUUGGCUUGUUUAGUGCAAGAUAGACCUUUGUAGGCAAUUUCUUAGGAAGGCGAUUUCCGUUGACAUAAAUUACAUCCCUAGCUGGAUCAACUUUAGUCUGUGGAGUUUUGCAAACAGAACCAUUCACAGUGACCCGCCCUUGAAAAAUCAGCUCUUCACUGCUCCGUCUGGAUGCCACUCCAGCAGCAGCAAGGACUUUACUGAGGCGUUGAGGAGGGUCUCUAAAGUUCUCAUUGUAGAACCGGCGAGCUGCCUUUGAAUGCUUAGGCUCAGGUGUAGGAACCACCGUGGCAGCUUUGGAAGCAACCUCUUUUCCCUUCUUCUUUUUCUUACCAGUGCUUGCAUUAGCCAUCUCAUGGAGUAGACGUGCAGGAGGUGUAGAUUGAAGAGUGAGAUUACCCUUUUCAUCACGAACAAUCCAAGGUAUAUAGAGCUGGUCACCAACUUCAGCAUCUAAGUUCGGCACCGAAUCGGAGUUGGAGUCGGAGUUGGGGUUUAUUAUGGGAAUUGCUGGUUCUGGUUUGGUUUUGGGUUUGGGUUUUGGUGGAGCAAAAGUGAUGUUGAAUUUAGUUGAGGAAGAUGAGAGUGACGAAGUGAUGAAGGUACGAAUGUGGCGACGCGUGUAGGGAGUUGCGCGAGUGAGGUGGAGGGAAGUGAAAGCGGAGGUCGCCGCUGCUACGGCGGCCGCCAUCGCCGCCAUCGCCGGUGAUUACUCUGAUAAGGUUUUGUGAAGGUUUUUGAAGAUGAUAGG
rnacentral:misc_RNA from 1 species